UUAUCGGUGCAAAUUCGACCCGGCUAACUCUCGCUCCGGCCGGAAGCACAAGGAGCGGUCCAGGAGGCAACGAGUGGGCUGAAGCACUUCUUGAAACGGCCUCGAAGGAGGUCAGCAAGCUCUGCGGGCCGCAACGUGA
rfam:Candidatus Burkholderia humilis strain TZHbot5 BHTMctg41, whole genome shotgun sequence.